rnacentral:rRNA from 1 species
GACGUAGGAGGCGAGCGUUGUCCGGAUUCAUUGGGCGUAAAGAGCACGCAGGCGGUUUGGCAAGUCGGAUGUGAAAACCCGAAGCUCAACCUCGGGCCUGCAUCCGAAACUGCCCGACUAGAGGUAGGUAGGGGAGAUCGGAAUUCCUGGUGUAGCGGUGAAAUGCGCAGAUAUCAGGAGGAACACCGGUGGCGAAGGCGGAUCUCUGGGCCAUUACUGACGCUGAGGAGCGAAAGCGUGGGGAGCAAACAGG